UACGUAGGUGGCAAGCGUUGUCCGGAUUUAUUGGGUUUAAAGGGUGCGUAGGCGGUCCUAUAAGUCAGUGCUGAAAUAUCCCGGCUUAACCGGGAGGGUGGCAUUGAUACUGUUGGACUUGAGUAAAGUUGAGGUUGGCGGAAUUGACGGUGUAGCGGUGAAAUGCUUAGAUAUCGUCAAGAACACCGAUUGCGAAGGCAGCUAACUAAGCUUUAACUGACGCUGAGGCACGAAAGUGUGGGGAGCAAACAGG
rnacentral:rRNA from 1 species